rnacentral:rRNA from 1 species
UCUGUUUGAUCCCGGCGGAGGCCACUGCUAUCGGGGUUCGAUUAAGCUAUGCGAGUCGAGAGGUGCAAGACCUCGGCAUACUGCUCAGUAACACGUGGACAACCUACCCUAAGGAGGGGGAUAACCCCGGAAAACUGGGGAUAAUACCCCAUAGACUACAGAAGCUGGAAUGCUCUGUAAUUGAAAGGUCCGCCGCCUUAGGAUGGGUCUGCGGCUGAUUAGGUUGUUGUUGGGGUAACGGCCCAACAAGCCUGUAAUCAGUACGGGUUGUGGGAGCAAGAACCCGGAGAUGGAUUCUGAGACACGAAUCCAGGCCCUACGGGGCGCAGCAGGCGCGAAAACUUUACAAUGCGGGAAACCGUGAUAAGGGAACCCCGAGUGCCCGUAAAUUCGGGCUGUUAACCUGUUUAAAAAGCAGGUGGAGAAAGGGCCGGGCAAGACCGGUGCCAGCCGCCGCGGUAAUACCGGCGGCUCGAGUGGUGGCCACUAUUACUGGGCUUAAAGCGUCCGUAGCUGGAUUGUUAAGUCUCUUGGGAAAUCUACCGGCUUAACCGAUAGGCGUUCAAGGGAUACUGGCAAUCUAGGGACCGGGAGAGGUGAGAGGUACUCCAGGGGUAGGAGUGAAAUCCUGUAAUCCUUGGGGGACCACCUGUGGCGAAGGCGUCUCACCAGAACGGCUCCGACAGUGAGGGACGAAAGCUGGGGGAGCAAACCGGAUUAGAUACCCGGGUAGUCCCAGCUGUAAACGAUGCGCGUUAGGUGUAUCGGUGACCACGAGUCACCGAGGUGCCGAAGAGAAAUCGUGAAACGUGCCGCCUGGGAAGUACGGUCGCAAGGCUGAAACUUAAAGGAAUUGGCGGGGGAGCACCACAACGGGUGGAGCCUGCGGUUUAAUCGGACUCAACGCCGGAAAGCUCACCAGAUAAGACAGCGGAAUGAUAGCCGGGCUGAAGACUCUGCUUGACUAGCUGAGAGGAGGUGCAUGGCCGUCGUCAGUUCGUACUGUGAAGCGUCCUGUUAAGUCAGGCAACGAGCGAGACCCA